CAGGCAGUAGGCAGCUGGUGGGAGGGCGUGGCCUUUCAUAGUCUCACAGGCCUUUCUCAUCCUAUACAGCUCAGAAUCCAUCUCCAGGACUGUGUCUUCUUUGCUGUGUGAGGCCCAAGUGGCUCUGGCUGAGAUCUGUCUCCCUGUGACCUGCAGCUGCUAUGAGAUCCAUAGGAAAGAAGUCAGGACUCUCCAGAAGGCAAGAAAUGGAGUCAGAUGGGAGAGCCAGAACAUUGAUGAUCACAACACAAAUUCCUGGAGAGAUCUAAGGCACAUCAUACCUCAUUCUGCAAGCAAUCCAUAUGAGAAAGAAGAGUGUGAAGGAAAGCCAUAUGAAUGUAAACAAAAAAGAACAUUUUUAAUUUCUCUCACAAGUGUUCAAAGACAACUGACAUCACACAGUAUAAAUGAACCUUAUGAAUGUCUGACAUGUGGAAAAGAGUUCAAUUG
rnacentral:lncRNA from 1 species